GAAAAGGGCUUUUGCUUCAUGGCACAGGGUAUUCCCUGCGGAAUCGCAAUCAAGAGAUUUCGGAAGCAUAAUCUUUGGAAACUGGUGGCAGUCAGCUUGCCUUUGCGCUGACGCCCCA